rnacentral:rRNA from 1 species
UCAUGGCCCCUCCAGCUCGUGUUGUGAAAUGUUGGGUUAAGUCCCGCAACGAGCGCAACCCUUAUCCUUUGUUGCCAGCGGUUCGGCCGGGAACUCAAAGGAGACUGCCAGUGAUAAACUGGAGGAAGGUGGGGAUGACGUCAAGUCAUCAUGGCCCUUACGAGUAGGGCUACACACGUGCUACAAUGGCGUAUACAAAGAGAAGCGACCUCGCGAGAGCAAGCGGACCUCAUAAAGUACGUCGUAGUCCGGAUUGGAGUCUGCAACUCGACUCCAUGAAGUCGGAAUCGCUAGUAAUCGUAGAUCAGAAUGCUACGGUGAAUACGUUCCCGGGCCUUGUACACACCGCCCGUCACACCAUGGGAGUGGGUUGCAAAAGAAGUAGGUAGCUUAACCUUCGGGAGGGCGCCACCACUUCA